rnacentral:lncRNA from 1 species
ACUUUUCAAAGGCAUGUUUCAAUCUCGAGUGUGCCCUUCAGGUUUUGUGACUGGGAUGCCGAGGAUCACAAAACAAGGUGUGAAGUAACCAUGCAAAUCACUUGGUACCCUUAAUAAAUUACCCCUCAAUCGAUGUGCCGGUUAACCACACACGCUCCAUCGAUACUAUGAUAAAUAUUAAGUCACCCUUUACCUACCUUGUUAAGUCCAAGUUAGUGUGCCGGUUAACCACACACGCUCCACUAACGACUUAGACAAAGUGUAAAGUGUAAUUUCAUGGAUUAGCACCUUAUUCACAUUUUUCCUAAGUAACUAAGAUUGGGUAUUAUUAAGAGUUUAGUUACUUAGUAUUAUCAUUAAUACUUUUAAUGAAGGGAGAAUUCUAGUCCUGUCAAACCCGUUCGGCUAACGACCCUCCACCAGUCAAGCAAGCGGUGGGUGAGAGUGGACACCCAUUAAGUUGCCAUUUUAUAGGCAACAACCUUAUACCCACCUUAUAGACCGGCUUCGUGAAUGAGGCGUACUAGCGGUAAGACUGACUUUACUCUUAUACAUAUAUAUAUUAUUAACUUAUAAUAUUAUAAAGUAUAAGGGUUGAAUUUUAACUUUUAAAAUUCUAAGGGCUAACUUGGAAUUAAAGUAUUCAUAAGUGAAAACUUUACAAAUUCCAAAACUUGAGGGCAAGUUUUGAAACUAUUCAAAACUAAUUAAUUCCAUAACUUAUGUGUUUAAAGUAGUUUUAAUCCAAAAACUCUUCAAGUUCCAUAACUUGAGGACAAGUUAUGGAAGACUUUAAACUAAUAAAAGAAUUAACUUUUCUUUAUUUUAUAACUUAUGGAAUUAAUUAAGGUUACCCUUUUUUUUAUUUUAUUUUAUUUUAUUAAAUGAAGAGACUCUUGGUCCUCCAUAACUUGAGGACAAGUUAUGGAGUCAUAAAACCAUUUAAUUAGAACUAGACUCUUCAUUUUUGUAACCUUUGCCAAUUUUUAUGAGUUUUAUGAUUCUUAAAUGUGACUUUUCAUAUAACUUGAGGACAAGUUACAAAAACACAUUUUAGAAUCAAUUCUUAGAUUAAUUUGGAUUAAAACCAACUAUCACAUAAUUUUAUUCAUUAAUCUAAAUUCACUCAUAAAACAAGGUAACACAAAAAACUUUUGGUGAUCCAUAACUUAUUCUUAAGUUAUGGAAUCCUUUAAAACAUUAACACCAAAUUUUGUAACUCCAAAAAAACUUUGAAUAAAUUUUUUUUUAAAACCUUUUCAUAUCCAUAACUUAUGGAGGUUUCAAAAAAUAAAACUCUUUAGAUCAAACUUUUAAAACUAAUAAAAUAAUCAUAUUAUUUUAUCUUUUAUUAAAUUUGACCUAAUUCAACUCAUAAAGCAAAUUAUUCAAAUUUUACAAAUAAUUAGUUUUUCACAAGAACAAGUAAUUAUCUUAAAAUUUGACGAACUUCAUUUUUUUUUUCUUUUUUUUUCAACUUUGAAAAUAAAAUAUUUGCAUCAAUAUAACAGAAAACAACCCGUGGCUCUGAUACCACUGUUGGGUUUUGAGCAUUCUAACACUUCCUAAGUGUACAUGCAACCCUAAAUACCUUGGAUCUAUGUUUUCUCUAUUAUACAUGCAAAUAAGAACAUCCAAGGUAUUAUCCUAAUCUAGCAUACAAAAACUAUGAAUGUAACAAGAUAGAAUACAUACCUCUUGAUGUAGCUUGAUGUCUUCAAGCUUUAAGAGCUUAGCCCCAAUAGUGUGGAAGCCUCAAGUGGAAUCACAAAUCACCAAGACACCUUGGAAUACUUUAGAGAAUAUGAUUACUUGGUUCUCUCUAGUGAAAUUGGCUAGCCCUUCUUUAGUGUAUCCAUACUAGUGCCAAUUUCACCAACCAAGGACAUCUUUAUAUAGUAUGGAGACUAGGGUUAAACCCAUGACCUUUCAUUUCAUAUGAUCCAUGGGUUAAACACUCCAUGGACUAUCCAUGAAAGCUUAGCCCAACCUAAAUGAACUUGGCCCAUUCCAUAUAUAUAAGAGUCCAUAUUUAAUUAGUUCAUUUUGAUCACUUAAUUAAUUCUAAAUUAAUUCUUGAUCAAUACUAAUUAAAUAAUAUGAUUCCAUAUUAAUAUAUUAGAACUUAUAAUAUAUUAAUAUUAAUCAUAAAUAUACUAUUCUCAAAAGAUUAUCCAUAUAAAUUGUGUCGGUGAAGUGCAACCCAAAUGGACCAUGUCAGGUCGGGUCAAGUACAUACCAAACAUAGUUAUUGACUUAGACAUUAAUCCAACAGUCUCCCACUUGGAUACGUCUAAAACUAUUAUUGAGUAUGACUUCAAAACCUAACUGACAGUCAUAGCUCUUAAAGCCGUUGUAGAACUCUAAUCUUUGUCAACGAACUUGUCCACUAGAUAAGGGAUCAUAUAUUCCUCCAUUCUAGAUAUCAUAUGGACUGAGACAUGGAUUAUAAUUAUUCUCUCUGUCCAUUUGUUGUGUCCCGAUUUCCGAUUCAUGACGACAGACUGAUUGAACAAAUCAAAUCAGUCCUGGCUUGGCCAAGCACUCACAUGUGUCAUCAUUAAAUCAUCGAGGGGCCCACAGAUAUCGCUUUUAUCCUGAAAGUAAAAGGAAUGGAUAAACAUCGACUCAUAUGGCUUUUUCUGUUACUUUUUGAUUCAUACACAAUGGCACGUUUUAUAACAUCGAGUUACCAAUGCAUUUUCGUGCAAUCAAUGUACUAUCAACUCAUAGUAACAACUCAUAUCUCUAGGUUUGAAGAAUAUAAGAUAUUAUCGUCUCAUGAUCACUCGUGAUAAAAUCCAUGAAGUGAUUCAAAUGAGCGCGGGUUGAAUCCAAUACUCAGAACUUAUGAGCACUCAUGAGUGUUGUAGCACAACUUUGUCCACCAACUUGGACCUCUACAAGCCAACCCAUGACAGUCUUGAUUCAUAUCUACUUCCAACAUAUGACCGACUAUGGUUGGUUUGAAUAACUUAGUCAUUCCGGAAGAAUAACCUAGUUAUUAUGGAAGUCAAAACAUGCAAAGUGAAACAGAAGAAUAAAUGAAUCUAAUAUGGUAUCAAAACCUAUGAAUAUAAAUAAAACACAUUCUAUUUAUCACCAUACUGAUUACUCAUUAUUCAUUGUUUCGGUUUUAUCAACUUUAUACUUGAAUUAAAACACUAGUAAUCCCAUGCUCCAAGCAUGUACACUAUGUUUUUCUAAAAAAUAGUUUUGCCAUACACCAAGUAUGCACUCUAUAUUUGUCUACGAUCCUGACUUUUGUGUGAUAAACCAAUUGACCAAACUUUAAAUGAUUCUAAUUUCACACUCUCAAAUCGAAAUCUGUUAGAUUUUUAAACUUAAAUGCACUACCCUCUUGCAAUGAAUGUGUAUAAAGUCACAAAGACUUGUCAACAACCAUUACAGGUAUUCCAAUGAAGACAUACUCCAUGGACACAAAGCCUUAUGUUCAAAGUAUGCAUUGCUUUAAACAUGGUUCUUGCUCCAUGUUUUUUCUAAUCUUACACAGAUUGCUUCCAUCUGUGGUGACAACUCUGUAUUCCCAUUUUGACUAACACUUCUGAACAAGAGUUUCCUCUUUUCAGACUAUGUUAAUAUGGUCCUUCCAAUAUUAACAGUAUACUUACAACUGUCCUUAAGCAACCAAUCCUUGGUAAGACCUUAGAUUGUCCUUGACAAUUUCUUAAUCACUUUCGUCAUAUCCAAUUCUAGAUAUUUUCCUCCUUAAUCCCCCAAGGCAUUUGGGAAAUUCAGAAAGGACAAAUAUUAUAGCACAUGUAAUCGAUCUUGUACCCAAUGUAAAUGGGACACGAUUCAUGAUGUUUCACAUAAAGACAUGGUUCUAAACCAGUCUUUUGCCAUAAUAAUUUUUUGUUUGCCAUAUUCUCAAAUUUUUACUAGGAAAAGGGAUGUCGUAAUCAUAAUCGAAUUUUGAGAACGCAAUAUAUAAAAUUUUUCUUAAGUUGAACCAAUCCAACAUGAAAUUCAUCUAUAUAUUCUUGACUAAAGGUGAUUAAAACCUCAAUAUAAGCUCUUUAGAAUGAUUAUAAACUCAAUCAAAGUUUUUCAUAAUUGAAAUGAAGUGUAAUUUCCUCUCCCUUAAUUAUAGCAAAACAACUUUUUCUAACCCCUGCAACCUUAGGAAUUGAAACUUUUGUUUUCUAUAAUUAACAUUGCUAACUUGCAAUACUUACCAUAAUUAUCAUGCACCCACUAACAUGAUGAUUAUUAGCAUAACACUUAUGCUCCCACUAGCUUUGACAUGUACCCAGAAAUCAACUGGACUUCUAGAAAUCAAUACUUUACUUACUUUCUUACCCAAGUUCAGAUUUCUGAUACUAGAUUUCCUUGAUAAGACUUUAUCAAAAUCAUACACCUCUCUUUGAUAGCUCACAGGUGUGUCUAAAUAUUAUGACGAGGUAUGUCGUAAUCAUAAUGUUUAGACCUAUUGCCAUUCCCACAAUUGCUAUCUACUUAGUGAAAGACUUUCCUUACCAUCAUUUUCAUGAAUUGAAGAGAAACCUUAUGACACUUAGAUUUUAUGGUGUAAGUGUUCCUAUCCAUGUGAAUUUGUCAAAAUCAUAAUCACAAGACUAGGUUAGUGACAAAUCCUAACUCAUAUGGAUUGAACUUGUGCAAUCUUAACUUCUUGCCACCUGGCACCUCAAGGGCCUUCCAUUGCUUCCAAGUAGUUCCGUAAACAGUUGAGAACAUGUAGAACUCAAAUGUAUAGCCAACUUAACUGGAGUGGGCACAGAAAAGUCAACAUGAUAGGUUAUAAACCUCAAGUCGUGUGCUAGUGAAGAACUUCAGGUUUUAUUCAUGAUUAGUUCUUGAGAAUUUCAAAACCUUAAAGACUCCCACUGUCCUCUUGACAUAUCAGACUCUCUUGUCAAAUAUUCAAGAGAUAAUGUGGAUUCUAAUCACGACAAAUACUUCACACAAUUGGCCUUAGUUGGUCUUUGUUUUAUCCAAAACAUCACAACUUACCAAUUUCAAAUGUACAAGAGUAUAAAACUUUUACUCUUACAUUUGACAAGUGUUUUAAACCUUCUUUAAGACAUGUCACUUAAGUUACAUUCUUAGAUUAUAACUCUAAGAAAUAUCUUUGGAACGAAGUAUGAAUCAUCUUCUUGAUUUAACCACUUCAACAAUUCAUAGCUCCUCUUCUUAGCUAUCAGAAUGCACUUAGAGGAUGAAUUGUGAUAAGGUCUAUAAAUCAUUAAGAUGAUCAUAUAACAUGAUACUGAAGUACUCUCCCAUCUUUUCAGAUUUGAGAAACUUUUAUCUUUCUACCAAAUUUGAUUCGUCUCAUUCGUUCUGCCAUACAUUGAAGCAUUUUCAAUGUUUCAUAAUUAUACUUAAACUUGUAAGUAUAACCAUAUUUACUAAGCUUUAGUAAAUCAUGACGAAUAUUCUUUGUGGUGGACCUGACCAACACAUACCCAAGUGUACCCGAUCCCUUUGUCCUUCCCUUGACUAAUAUAUACAUGUGAACAAGGAAUUAGUCUUAAUUUUCCAAAGAUGAAAAUUCUCAUUCAUCAUACUAUACAACUUGAAUGAUUCCAAGCUUCGGUCCAAUUUAAACUUGGGUGAUGAGAAUAUUUGCUUAUUUGGUAAAAUUAGACACUACCACAGACGAAAGAAUCAAAUCCAUUUUCAAUAUUGCUGUCAAUGGAAUCUUAUAAGCAACAAUUUGUCCACAAAUGCCAUUGUAAGGAUACUUAAAAUAAAUGAAAUAAAAAAAAUUUCCUUUUAUUUUAAAACUUUGCGGAAAACCUUAUCCUUACAAUCCGUAUGAAAACCUUGUUGUUAUCUAUACCUAAGCAAUAUAUCAUAACUCUUAAGCAACAGCUCAAAAAUUCUGAUCACCGAACCAUGCGAUUGAAAUCCAUCUUUGCAAUCAGAAUUAGCAUAUACUUCCUUUAAGUUUCUUUACUUUUCUUUGAUUCUUAAAACAUCAACAUGUGACCCAGUCACAUCAUGUAACAAGAAUCUCCAAGUAGGAACUUAAAAGAGUUAGACAAUGGACUUUACCUGAAAUAAAGUCAAAAAUAUUGACUUUACCAUCCUUAGGAAAGUUUGGCAGCUUCGUAACCAAAGCCCCUUCCUUUGGAAAUAGAAACAUAUGGACCCUUAGGUAAUAGUACAUGGGACUAUCUCAGACUUAGCCUUUCUAUUUACCAUUUGGUCAACCAAGUUGACUAUGGCCAAUCCCUUUCCAUUGGGAAUAGAAUGCUUUUAUGGAUUUCCUGUGUCAGUAUUGUCCCUUUCCAUAAAGUUUUGGGAAGUUGAUCUCCUAAUCAAAUUUGCUUUCCUAGCCUUCCAAAUUAUUGUUGAUUCAGCAGCACCAAGCAAAUAGAUAAGAUCAUUAAGGAUAUUGUCAUAGUCUGUUUCAUAGGAGUCCCAAAGGGACUCACUAUGUGACUUAGAAAGUGACUGAACCACCAACUUUCUCAAGACUUUGACACCCAACACUCCCGGCUUGUCAAUAUGUGACUUCAUCUCCAAGAUGCGACCACACAUAGACCUUGCAUGCCAAUAGGGCUAGAGUGACCUUGAACUUGUGGGAUAGGGAGAAUAAUUGAAUGAGGUGGAGGAAGUGAAGUUCCAAGAGAUUUGGGUAGAUCAUAGAUGUCUGAACUAGACAUCUUUUUGGGAGAUUUUCAAGAUAGUUUAUUUAAACUCCUUAAUAUAACACCCAAUAUGAAAUAUCAAGGCUAGGACCCAACACAAUAUUUUAUAACUUGGAAGAGGGAUGCCGAAUCCAAGCUAUAGAAUAUUUGAAGGUAGGUGAAUGACAAUUCACCAAUUUCCACCAUGAAAAAUGAAAUAAAUUAUUAGUUUUUUAAUUGGAUGUGAAACUCCUAGAUCUUUUGAGAUUCAUUAAACUAUUCAAUGGCAUGUUCCAAUCUUGAGUGUGCCCUUCAGAUUUUGUGACUGGGAUGCCGAGGAUCACAAAGCAAGGUGUGAAGUAACCAUGCAAAUUACUUGGUACCCUUAAGUGUUUACCCCUCAAUCGAUGUGCCGUUUAACCACACAGGCUCCAUCGAUACUAUGAUAAACAUUAAGUUACCCUUUACCUACCUUGUUUAAUACGAGUUAGUGUGCUGGUUAACCACACACGCUCCACUUACCGACUUAAACAAAGUGCAAAGUGUAAUUUCAUGGAUUAGCACCUUUUCCACAAAUUCCUAAGUAACUAAGAUUGGGUUUUUAUAAAAGGUUUAGUUACUUAGUAUUUAUCAUUAAUACUUUUAAUAAAGGGAAAAUUUAUAGUCUUUGUCCUACCCGUUCGGCUAACGACCCUCCACCAGUCAAGGAAGCGGUGGGUGAGAGUGGACACCUAUUAAACUGUCAUUUUAUAGCUAGUAACCUUAUACCCCUCUUAUAGACCAGCUUCGUGAAUGAGGCCUAUUAACG